rnacentral:lncRNA from 1 species
ACCCAUGGCUGCCGCCUCGGAGCCCCACGAGCCGGAGAAAAAGCCCUUCAAGCUCCUAGGUAUUUUAGAUGUUGAGAACACUCCAUGCGCUCGAGAAUCUAUACUGUAUGGCUCACUAGGAUCUAUUGUGACUGGACUUGGACAUUUCUUGGUGACCAGUUCCACUGUAGGUAUAAUUUUGCUAAGCAGAGGAUCCAGGAAAGAAUUGCCAGAGAAGGAAUAAAAAACAAGAUUUUAUAUGAAAGCACCCACCUUGAUCCUGAAAGAAAAACGAAGAGCAGUAACAGCAGCUGAGCGACUUCAUCAGCUUUAAACCCACAACUAUGCUUCCUUGUGAAUCAACCAUAAAUUAAACUCAAGUGUGUCAACUGUA